rnacentral:rRNA from 1 species
GAACGUUAUUAGUAGGAAAUGGCUAAUAAGUGACGGUACCUUACCAGAAAGGGACGGCUAACUACGUGCCAGCAGCCGCGGUAAUACGUAGGUCCCGAGCGUUAUCCGGAAUUAUUGGGCGUAAAGGGCACGUAGGCGGACAAAUAAGUUUGAUGUCAAAUAUGAUGGCUCAACCAUCAAGAGGCGUUGAAAACUGUUUAUCUAGAAUCUCGGAGAGGUAAGUGGAAUUCCGAUGUGUAGCGGUGGAAUGCGUAGAUAUAUGGAGGAACACCAAUGGCGAAGGCAGCUUACUGGACGAAGAUUGACGCUGAGGUGCGAAAGCGUGGGUAGGCAAACAGGAUUAGAUACCCUCGGUAG